UAUUUUGCAAUUAAGAUGGAAAUUUGGCUAUAUUGGGAAAAGCCUCUGGGAUGUGGCCGCCGGACCAAUAGUACAGACACGGUACCCCGGAGAGAGUCCCAGAACGCGAAUUGUUUCACCUUAGAUCCAAACUCCACCUCCAAACAACCCUUCUCUCUCUCUCUCUCUCUCCUCCGUUCGCGGCGGCGGUGGUGUCUCCGGUGGAUGGCAAGCAGAGCCAACAAAUACGCCUCCCUCAAUUUCAACGACAUCUACGAGAAGAAGAUCAUCAAUCCCACCAACAACAAACAACACCAUUCCUCUUCUUCCCAAUCAUCUCCUCUCACCACUUCCACCAAAACCAUCCUCUCCAAUUCUCGCAUCCAUGGCAACAUGCUCGUCCUGACCCGCCCUUCCCCCAAACCCAUUCCCCAACCCCAACCUCAAUCCCCACCCCACCCCCCUGCAAUUCCGGAUCAACCCCGAUUCCUCCCGGACUCCAUCUCUCUCCGCCCUCUGGGUCGAACCGGGUCUGGCCCAUCUUUGUCUCUCCUUCCUUUGACGUUGCCCAUGCCAAACAAGGACUUCUCUCCAUCUUCAUCUCUAUCUCCAUCGCCUUCGCCGAAGCCGAACCGGUUCAUUCCACCUCAUCUUCGGCCGGGAUUCGUCGGCAGGGAGGAGAAGCCCGGGCCGGAGCUCCAGAAGCAGCAGGGAGUCCGAUCCAGGGAGUUCGGGGGUCACUUCGGGUCGCCGAAUAAGCACGGGGAAGAAGGGCGACCCAAGUCUGGAGGUGGGUAUGAGAGGAUGCGCCGAGUUGGCGAUUCAGGCCCGGUGGAGAUGAAUCGGCCUCGUUCAAGUGGGACUCGCCCGAGUUCAAGUGGAUGAUCGUUGUACAAAGUAGGACUAUGACAAGGAUGUAUAUUAACACAAGUGCGCUGUGGCUGCCAAAGGUCAGUAGUUCUGUUAUGGAGUCCCUGUGCCUAGGGGUGCUUCUUCAGAUUGGUUGCAUAAGGGCAGAUUUCUUAUGGAGUGGAGCUUCUCACAAUGGACAGCUACAAUUUUUUGUCCUGGAAUCAGAGCAUUAAUUUCGUAGAGUUUCGUAGAUCUUCAACUCACGCAAAUCAAGAAUCUGACCAAAUGGUGCCUUUAGGGUUUCUAAUAACGGACGGUUGACGAAAUAUUUGUUCAAACAUUCUUUUUGAAGAGGAAGCUUGUGGAUUGAUGGCCUUCCUUCCAUCAUUUGGUGGUUAGGGUUAUUUUAGUUAAAAGCGUAGGGAGGUACCAAUGGUAUGUUUUAUCUACUGUAUGAUUCUUUUCUGUUUGUCUAAUACAUCAUUUUAUAAAAGGGGAGUAUUGCAUUCAAUUGCAAGCCCCUUUUUACUACUAUUUUCCUUCCAUGUACUUACUAUCCUUGUGUUGAUUCUGUUGGAUAUGAAUCAAUGUGUUUCUUCCCUCA